GACGAACGCUGGCGGCGUGCUUAACACAUGCAAGUCGAACGGAAAGGCCCUGCUUUUGUGGGGUGCUCGAGUGGCGAACGGGUGAGCAACACGUGAGUAACCUGCCCUUGACUUUGGGAUAACUUCAGGAAACUGGGGCUAAUACCGGAUAGGAGCUCCUGCUGCAUGGUGGGGGUUGGAAAGUUUCGGCGGUUGGGGAUGGACUCGCGGCUUAUCAGCUUGUUGGUGGGGUAGUGGCUUACCAAGGCUUUGACGGGUAGCCGGCCUGAGAGGGUGACCGGCCACAUUGGGACUGAGAUAGGGCCCAGACUCCUACGGGGGGAAGCGGUGGGGAAUAUUGCACAAUGGGCGGAAGCCUGAUGCAACAACGCCGCGUGCGGGAUGACGGCCUUAGGGUUGUAAACCGCUUUCGCCUGUGACGAAGCGUGAGUGACGGUAAUGGGUAAAGAAGCACCGGCUAACUACGUG
rnacentral:rRNA from 1 species